GAGAUUCCUACUGGUGCUGCGUGGGAAAUAGAAUUGUUCAAGAGCAUAACCAAUGACAUGGAGCCUGAUGUCGAGGGACAGCUUCAAGAACCACUGACAGAAGAAGCUCAUGAUGAUGUCUCUUUUCAAAUCAUUACGAUUUUCCCCGACUCAGGAAAACAAAAGAGAAAUUCCCAUUCCCAUGUCCUCAGCAUCAUAAGAGGAUAAGUCUCAAUUUUACUAGUAAAAUUGAGAGCACUUCAAUAGGCGCUGUAUCAUCUGUUGAAGCAAGAUGCACUCAGGCAACAGAGGCAUUUCUUGUCAGCAAAACAAAAAACAAAAAAAGGGAUGCGGGUGCUCACAGAUGGUGAGAAAACUAAUGCUCUUCAGAAAACUAAUGCUGCUUUCCAAUCCACGAAUCCUUCUAUAUAUCCUUCUAGGUAUAGCUGCUCCAACACUUGCAUAUGAUGUUUUUAUUUGUUUUCUCGAACCUGACCUUAAAACUUGCGACCUGUCGGGUGGGACAAGAGGUCCCACGUCCAAGCCAUGAAAACCAGGGUGAGGCAAGUGCUUCCAAACUUUUUGCUACUUAUUAGACCCCAAGCCAAGUUCUCAGGAGGAUGAACCUUCUCUUAGUCUUCUCUGGUAUUUUUUUUUAAAAUGUUCGUUGCAGGCAUCUUAACAAGACUGAUCAACAGGAGGUAGAAUCAGUUUUCUCACGUUGAGUAGAGUACCAUCUCGUGUCAUCUUUGACUAAAAUGCACGUAAGAAAAUGUGAGAGGUGUUGUUCAAUCCUUCUCGGGGACAUUAAAGGGAUUGUAUUAGUGAAUAAUAAUGUUAUUUCCAGAAGUUUCUGUAUGGAGAGGAGGUGGUAUGCCAAUCCCAAUGGGUUUAUCAUGACACUUUGACGAAAUACAUUUCCUAUUUCAUUUUC